rnacentral:tRNA from 2 species
GGAACAGUAGCAAAGCAGGUCUAUGCGACAGACUGAAAAUCUGAAGAUACAGGUUCGAUUCCUGUCUGUUCCUCCU